rnacentral:rRNA from 1 species
GCCUAACACAUGCAAGUCGAACGGGAAGCACUUUCGAGUGCGGAGAGUGGCGCACGGGUGAGUAACACGUAGCUGACCUGCCCCAAAGAGGGGGAUAACGCUCGGAAACGGGCGCUAAUACCCCAUAAGCUCACGGUGAUUAGAAGACAGUGAGAAAAGCUCAGGCGCUUGGGGAGGAGGCUGCGGCCCAUCAGCUAGUUGGUAAGGUAAAAGCUUACCAAGGCAAAGACGGGUAGGGGACCUGAGAGGGUGACCCCCCACACUGGGACUGAGACACGGCCCAGACUCCUACGGGAGGCAGCAGUGAGGGAUAUUGCACAAUGGGCGCAAGCCUGAUGCAGCAACGCCGCGUGGGUGAAGAAGGCCUUCGGGUCGUAAAGCCCUUUUCUGGGUGACGAGAGAGGACGGUAGCCCAGGAAUAAGUCUCGGCUAACUACGUGCCAGCAGCCGCGGUAAAACGUAGGAGGCGAACGUUAUCCGGAGUUACUGGGCGUAAAGCGCGUGUAGGCGGCGUGACAAGUCCGGCGUGAAAGCCCCCGGCUAAACUGGGGGAGGUCGCAGGAAACUGGUCAUCUAGAGGGCGAUAGAGGGGCGUAGAAUUCCGGGUGUAGUGGUGAAAUGCGUAGAUAUCCGGAGGACACCGGAGGCGAAGGCGGUGUCCUGGGCCGAAACUGACGCUGAGACGCGAAAGCGUGGGGAGCGAACGGGAUUAGAAACCCCGUAGUCCAUGCCGUAAACGAUGCGCACUAGAUGUUCGCUUGCCUACGGUCGGGUGAGCGUCGCAGCCAACGCGAUAAGUGUGCCGCCUGGGGAGUACGGUCGCAAGGCUAAACUCAAAGGAAUUGACGGGGGCCCGCACAAGCAGCGGAGCGUGUGGUUUAAUUCGAGGCUACGCGAAGAACCUUACCUGGGUUUGACAUCCCACGAAUGAACCGGAAACGGGGAAGUCCUUCGGAGAGCUAUCACAGGUGCUGCAUGGUUGUCGUCAGCUCGUGCCGUGAGGUGUUCGGUUAAGUCCGCAAACGAGCGCAACCCUCGGCGUUAGUUACAAGUGUCUAGCGCGACUGCCCGUGACAAACGGGAGGAAGGUGGGGAUGACGUCAAAUCAGCAUGGCCUUUAUAUCCAGGGCUACACACACGCUACAAUGGUCGGUACAAUGGGUCGCGAAGCCGCGAGGUGGAGCCAAUCCUCUAAAGCCGAUCUCAGUUCGGAUUGCAGGCUGCAACUCGCCUGCAUGAAGUCGGAGUUGCUAGUAACCGCGUAUCAGCACGGCGCGGUGAAUACGUUCCCGGGCCUUGUACACACCGCCCGUCACGUCAUGGAAGCGGGUCACGCCUAAAGUCGGGAAGCUAACCUAACGGAGGCUACUGCCUAGGGCAGGAUUGGUGACUGGGACGAAGUCGUAACAAGGUAGCUGUAGCGGAAGCUGCGGCUGGAUCACCUCCUU